AUUGAACGCUGGCGGCAGGCCUAACACAUGCAAGUCGAACGGUAACAGGAAACAGCUUGCUGUUUCGCUGACGAGUGGCGGACGGGUGAGUAAUGUCUGGGAAACUGCCUGAUGGAGGGGGAUAACUACUGGAAACGGUAGCUAAUACCGCAUAACGUCGCAAGACCAAAGAGGGGGACCUUCGGGCCUCUUGCCAUCGGAUGCGCCCAGAUGGGAUUAGCUAGUAGGUGGGGUAACGGCUCACCUAGGCGACGAUCCCUAGCUGGUCUGAGAGGAUGACCAGCCACACUAGAACUGAGACACGGUCCAGACUCCUACGGGAGGCAGCAGUGGGGAAUAUUGCACAAUGGGCGCAAGCCUGAUGCAGCCAUGCCGCGUGUAUGAAGAAGGCCUUCGGGUUGUAAAGUACUUUCAGCGGGGAGGAAGGGAGUAAAGUUAAUACCUUUGCUCAUUGACGUUACCCGCAGAAGAAGCACCGGCUAACUCCGUGCCAGCCGCCGCUGUAA
rnacentral:rRNA from 1 species